rnacentral:rRNA from 1 species
GGAGUUUAUCGUGUACGCAAGUCAUUGGGUGAAUAAAACUCAAAGGCGAAAUAAAAGUAAAGAGUUAAGAAGUUUUACUUGUUUUAAUUUCUUUCUUUAGGGAAGAUAAAAAAUUAAUUAAUAAUUUAUUAUUAAUAUAAGUUUUUUCGCACUCCCGGGGCGCUUGUUUCAUGCUGUAGCAUUUCAAUGCGCACCUAGAGCGUACACGCUGAUACCCGAAAGAUGGUGAACUAUGCCUGGCCAGGACGAAGCCAGGGGAAACCCUGGUGGAGGUCCGCAGCGAUUCUGACGUGCAAAUCGAUCGUCGGAGCUGGGUAUAGGGGCGAAAGACCAAUCGAACCAUCUAGUAGCUGGUUCCCUCUGAAGUUUCCCUCAGGAUAGCUUGCGUUCAGUUGAGACGAGUCUCAUCCGGUAGAGCGAAUGAUUAGAGGCAUUGGGGUCGAAACGACCUCAACCUAUUCUCAAACUCCAAAUAGAUGAGACCCCCGGCUUUCUUAAAAUUGAAGCCGUGGGAAUAGGAUCAGA